UUUUCCCUCCAAACAAACCAGGCAGAACAAAGAGAGGAGUGAUAUUUCAGGGUGACAUCCUGCUUAAUGUUAAGAGAAAACCGUAGUACAGAUUGUGGAUGCAGUGCAGACUGUGGAUGCAUUACUGAUGCAAAAUCAUCCAUUCAUCCAUGCAUCCAUCCAUCCAUUAUUCACCUGCAACCAGUGUAAACCUUUCCCUGCCUUGACAAUAAUAAAACCUUGGAACGGCACUGGAUCCUGUGUUUGAAUGUGCACACCACAUCAGAUGUUCAGUGAACCAACACCAUCAGUGAAUAAGAGUUUCUUCAACUUAAGUAAAGGAUCUGAAUACUUCUUCCACCACUGCUGGGUAGUUUCCAACCGAGAGCAACUUAUCUGUAGGAGCGAGCAUUCAAACAGGGCGUGGCUUGAAUACUGUGCUCUUAUUUUGAAAAGCAGAAAUGACGCCAUGCGUGAUUAAAGUCCAUUUGAAAAGUUGAAAAUGUUAGAAAGAUGUUCAC